CCGCGUCAGCCCUUCACCAUGAUUAUGAAACCUCCCCAGCCAUGUGGAACUGUAAGCCAAAUUAAACCUUCUUUUUUUUCCCCCAGUCUCAGGAAGAAGUGGUCUCAGAUGCUUGCUAUUGAAGACAUGGAUGUUCUUAGUCCAAUUCUCUUCCUAAAAGGAUAUAGAAGACAGUUGACUCUUUCUUAUACAUACACUCACCUGAAUCUGAAGAAUGAGCAAGAAACUGCCAAAAAGAACUCUGAGUAACCAUAUGCCUUCCUUCUGUUUGUCUACUAUGCAAGACUAUUCCAUAGCAUAUUAAGAUGUUUCCUCCAAACUAGCAAGUAGGAUCUAGAUUUAAUCUUCAACUAUUCAAUACCGAUUCUACAAAAGCAUAGAGGUGAACAGAGUGCUGGGACCUACAGUGUCAUUUCUUCCCCCUAUUACCUUAAUGAAUGUAGCCAGUUUGCUUACUUCACUUUUGCUCUUGGAUAUUGACAACUGGCUGUCUUCUUCUUCAGGUGGUCAGGUGCUAGUUGUUACUCAGUGAAUCCCCAGUUCUCUAGGCUUCUCUGAGAGAUAGCCAAGACUUGUUUUCAGUCACCAAUGCCUUUAAUCAAACUCGCUUAAAUAGCAACCCAGUUUUUACCACAUGCCAAAGUCUAUCACUGACAGAAAUUUUAAUGUUUCAUCUAACCCACAUCUCCCUCAAAACUUUGCUAAAAUGCCAUUUUUUUCUGUGAUUACUUCCAUUUAUUUUUCUCCGUAGCUUUCUUCACCUUAUGACCUAUAAUAUAAUGUACUAAUUAUGUUUGUUUUCACUUUUCCUACACUAGUACAUGAGCUCUAAUAAGGCAGAGGUUUUUGCCUGUAUACUUCACUGAUAUAUUCUUGGAACACAGAAGACUACCAGGUAUAUAGAAAGUGCUCAUAAAAAUUUGUUGAAUUAAUUAAUCUAGCACAAUUGAUUUUAUAUCACACCUUUUUGAUGUUGACAGUUAUCUGAAUUAAAUAAAUUGGAUCCAUACCUCCUUGUAUUUCUGAUAGAGUUUUAAUGACUGGUCCUACCUCUUACAGAUGAGGUCAUCUCCCUUCAUGUUCAUAGUCUUCAUGCUUUAGUAGCAGAGAUUUUUCUUGGUUCUCCCCUUCUUUUCUCAGAAGUGUCCUGAAUACUUCAUGUAUCACUCUAGUGGAGAAGAAUCCAGGAAUGGCCACGUUACAAUACACAUAUUUUAUGUUUCACAAAACCUGUCAAUAAACUCACAUUUUUGUAAAGCUUUUUGAAAUUUGUUUCAUUCAGUUUUUUGACUUUUCUCUGUACCAUAUUUUAUCUUUCUCUCUUUAUUUGAACACACACACUGGUAUCCACAGGUGCAUGUGGCCUCUUUUUUUUUUUUUAAGUUUAUACAUACACUUUCUCUCCUUGAAAACAGAUAGCAAGUUUUCUUGAGGAGAUUGCUCACUUAUUAUAGGCACUCUCCCACCCCUGUCUUACAUCCCCAAAUGGAUUUAGUUCUCCUCAAACUAUGCAAAGUCACCUAAUUAAAUAAAAGCCAUCGUAUUUCUAAGAAAUAUUAUCUACCAUGUGUUUCCAAAAGAAAAAUGAUCUGGAGAGCUAUGGAAUUUGGCAUUCAAAGAUCAGGAUCAGAAGAGAGAAUCUUCAGGAUGUUGGAAAAAUGAGAACACAAGCGUCAUUUUUCCUUGUGUUUUUAUUGGAAGCUUGAUGGGGACUUUGGCUACAUCUGUGCUGACUGCAUAAGCACAUACAAGAACAAUGUGUACUUUCUCAGCUGAGUGGCUUUUUAAUGUGCAGUUUCCUGCAGUGAUUCUGCUUAAGCAAGGCCUUAGAAAAGAUGAGGAACAGCUAAAGAACAAAACACACAGCAUGUUACUCUGUGGCCUCAUCAAAGGUAUCUCAAUUUAGAAGGUAAAUUACAAGCUAAAAAAAUCUGUGAUUUGUAUUCUUUCAAAGAAAGUAACAGAAAACUCAAGCAACUUUUUUUACAUACAUAAUUUUUUCCUCAAAACACUCAAGUAAUACAAAAACUAAGAAGUUCUGGAAAAGGGCCCAUUUACUACUUCUAGCCUUCCUACCUUCAGUAGUUUGUCAUGUAAUGAAGGGGUCUAUACCUCCUCACUUCCGUGGUGUUAUGUUUAGCCAUUGCUACACAUGGUAAACUUGUUUUAGCCCCCAGUU
rnacentral:lncRNA from 10 species